rnacentral:sRNA from 1 species
AUUACAGAGAAAACAUUU